rnacentral:rRNA from 1 species
AUGCCUAAUAUACUUAGUUUAACCUGUAUCUGUUUUAAUUCUGUUCUUUAUCCUACUAGUUUUUUCUUUGCCAAAUUACCCGAAGCUUAUGCUAUUUUCAAUCUAAUCGUGGAUAUUAUGCCUGUUACAAUCUGUACCGACUCCCGUAUAGUGUAG